rnacentral:lncRNA from 1 species
AAGGUUGCCCUGCUGAUGUCAUGCCUGACCAUAUGACUUGCUCCAGCCAAUGAAAUGUAAGCAGAAGUGACAUAUGCAGCAUGACCAGUGGAAGCUUCGAAGAGCUAUUGCCAAUUUCCACCCUCUCUCUGGAAACUGUCAUUAGGGUUAGGGAAACUGUCAUGAGAUCUGCAUAUUUUAGAUAGAGGCUGCUUGCCUUAUUUGGGCACCUAAUGAAAAAGACAUGGAGGCCAGGUGCGGUGGCUCAUGUCUGUAAUCCCAGCACUUUGGGAGGCCAAGGCGAGUGGAUCACCUGAGGUCAGGAGUUCGAGACCAGCCUGACCAACAUGGCAAAACCCCGUCUGUACUAAAAGUGCAAACACAAAGGGAACUGCGUGGCUUGUUUCUACCUGAACAUUGUCAAGUGAUUUCAUCCUUUGAAACACAGUUGUGAAGUGUGUCCAGCAGUCUGAGAACAAGAAGAAGAAGAAAAUCUAAUCCUUCAGGGUGUCUGUGUGCCAGCCCUGCUCUCAGCACUUCCCAUGUGGAACUCCUUUACUUCUCCUAACAACUCCAUGACAUGGGUUAGACUGUGAUUGUUCCCAUAUUGUUGGUAGGGAAACUGAGGCAUGCAGGUGUUACAGAGCUCUCUCAAGUGGCAAGCUUUCUGGGUGGUUACAGAGUGGCAGAGCUGGGGUAUCCCAUGAUGUCACCACACUGCUAUAUGGAAAAGAACAUUAAUCGAGCACCUACGUGCUUGAUUCUCUUAAUUCUGUGACUGAACUCUCAAAACACCCUGGGUAAGCACUAUCAUCUCCUAUUUUCACAAGUGAAAAAACUGGGAUUCAAAAAAAUUAAGUGACUUACCAAAUAUUACAGAGCUAGUAAGCCAAGACUUGAACACUGAGAUGGAAUUCUACCUUUUAAGGUGGCUAAGCAACAGAAGGAUGUUCCUUUCCCAAGGGGAGCACUGCGUGUUUUGAAAUAUACAAAUAGUGGGAAACGAAAUCUUUGUUCUGGAUGCAGUUAUAAUUUGGAAAGCGAGGAAAUAAAUUAUAACAAGGGGAAAAAACAGAAUACUACUAAAGUCAUGCCGUGUGACUUCUGAAGCUAGCUCCUAAGAAGUCCUUGCAGCUUCUGCCUGCGACUCUUAGAACACUUGCUUUGAAGGAUGCCAGAUGCUGUCUUAAAAGUCUGAGCACUCUGAAACCAUCAUGCUGUGAGGAAGCCCAAGCUAACCACAUGGGCAAAAAAGAUGCCCUCUGACUGCCACCAUUUGAGACACUCUAAUUAAGAACUGCCUCAUUGAGCCCAUGAGGCCCUGUGAAUGAUAAUAAUAAAUUGUUUUUAACCACUAUGUUUUUGGAUUUGUUAUAAGUUUAUAGAUAACAAGAAAAAGUUAUAUUAGCAUGGUAAUAAAAUUAUGGAUAUGUGUAA